rnacentral:lncRNA from 1 species
CCCCGGGGCAAGGAGGGGAGGCCAGGCAGCCGGAAGGAAACUCCUGAGCUUUUUACGGAAUGCACAAGACAAAAGAGUGCUGCUUGCUCUGCAGCUGGUCCAAGAAGCUUCACCUCCCAGGAGCACCAGACAGAUGAUCUCCUGUUUACAGUGGUUCCAGGAGCACCAACCCCAAGGAUGAGUUAUAAGCAGGUCUCUAAAGAGAUUUUAGGAGAAGCUGCUAAAAUGGUGGCAAAGCUCUUUAGAAACAUAGAAGUAUGAACCUUUUUAUGGGGAGAACUUAUAAGAGUUUGGAGAGGUCUUCCAGGUCCACACAACCUCCCUGGAAAUGGCAAGGAGUUAUAAUUUCCAUUUUACAGAUGAAAAAUGAAAAAGAGGAGAAGGGGAUGCCAUUUGCUCAAGGCUGCUGGAACGCUAGGCUGGCUCUGGGACUAUCACGAAAAGUUUCUAACCCCCCGCCACGGCUCUUCUCACAACACAAGAAUGAGCUCAGAGAGGUUAAUGAACCUGCCAAAGACCCCAGCUGAGAGACUGAGUUGGUUUGCAGAUUCCAAAGCCCACAUUCAUUCCAUUUUAUCUCAUCUUUAGUGGACUUUGAACAUGCCUCAGCCUUCACCUUGACCCUUGGUGAAGGUGCUGAGAACCAAGACCCAGUGCAGCGGUGUCUCUGGAACCUCCUGGAGCUCAGCAGCCGACUCCCAAACCUGGAGGUCCUCACUCUGCACCCUGUGCUCUGCCCUCUGGCUGAUCCUCAGCAUUCCCAGGCAGCCUGGCUCCCUGUAAAGUUGUUUAAACUUCUGUUUAUCAUCAUCUUCCAUCAUUUCUAAUUGUUUUCCUGUGUCCCUUUCUUUUGUAGAGGAUAUAAACUCAGCAUUUUAGCUUUUGAAAUAGAUUUGCUGUGCAGUUUCAUGGCUCUUUAGUGGCUUAAAAUGUAUUGUUCUGUGAGUCUUUCUGUGCCCGUCACAGCAUUCACUGUGGGAAGCAGCAGGACGCCAGCGAUGCUGAUGUUUAUUUGAUUUUAGGGGACUUUAAGGCAUUCCUGGGACCAUACGGAUUCUAAAUAUUCUGCCUCAUUGUCUUCAGAAGCUACUAAAAUAUCCUAGAAAUGAUCAUGUUUCAGCAUGUAAGCUACAUAUUUCACGUUACCUCUUGUAUCCAUCCAUACAUAGCCUCUAUCAAGAGCCUGGCAUAAGCCAAUGUAAUGGUUCUGAAAUGGUAACCACAUGGUUCUUCAAUCACUAAAACCCUUUCCACUCUGAGAUUGGACAUUCAUUGCUAUUUUCUGCCAGGGCUUUGAUUUACAAGACUGUCUAUGAGUUCUGUGUUUAAUAUACAGAACUGGCUGCCCUCAAUGCAUGAGACUUCCUGGUAUUUUUUUCAUGUGAUUAGAUGGAUUACAUUUGUUUCAUAUUUAUUGUUUAGAUAUACAAGUAAUCCUCACUUUGCACAGUGUCAUGUCUGCAUAUUGAAACCCUAUACUCACUUUGUGCAAUCCUUUGGUAAGUGCAAAGUGAGAACACAGGUCUGAUAUGUACAAGUUUCAGUGAACAUGGUACUAUGCAUCAUGAAGACUAUCUGAAGUUGCUUUCAAAUAAAAUUUGGAUAAGGACUGUAAAAAAAAAAAA